GGUGAUUUUGGAAUGAGAAUGACGAACUAGUUCAAAAUGUUGCUGCUCUCAACUUUCUAAAAGCAGUUAUUUUGGGAAAUCAUGAUUCUUGGAGCACUCAACAGUUUUCUUCUAAGAAGAAGGAUCGAGUUCAACUUCAACUAGAAUGGUGAGCUUUCCUGAUAUAUAAAAAAGGAAUUUUAAGAAUGCAUGCUUCUUUAAUUUUCUAUAUUCCAUCUCUUUUUCCAUGUUAGAUGCUAACUGUGAAAAUUUGAGGCUUGAAUUAGUCGGGAGCAUGUAGGUUAUAAACGUCUGGACUUUCCUUUACUAAAGCUCAGUGUUGUUGGUGGACGGCCCUUUU